ACUUGGAUCGUCCAGUGGUUAGGAUAGAAGACUGUGGAUCUUCUGACCCGGGUUCAAAUCCCGGUCCAGGUC
rnacentral:tRNA from 1 species